rnacentral:rRNA from 1 species
AGAGUUUGAUCCUGGCUCAGGAUGAACGCUAGCGGCAGGCCUAACACAUGCAAGUCGAGGGGUAACAGGAGAGCUUGCUCUUGCUGACGACCGGCGCACGGGUGAGUAACGCGUAUGCAACCUACCUUUAACUGGGGAAUAGCCCGGAGAAAUUCGGAUUAAUGCCCCAUAACAUACAAAUUCACAUGUUUUUGUAAUUAAAGUUUUUAACGGUUAAGGAUGGGCAUGCGUGACAUUAGUUUGUUGGUGAGGUAAUGGCUCACCAAGACUACGAUGUCUAGGGGGUCUGAGAGGAUGGUCCCCCACACUGGUACUGAGACACGGACCAGACUCCUACGGGAGGCAGCAGUGAGGAAUAUUGGACAAUGGAGGCAACUCUGAUCCAGCCAUCCCGCGUGCAGGAAGACGGCCCUAUGGGUUGUAAACUGCUUUUAUACAGGAAUAAACCCCUCUACGUGUAGAGGGCUGAAGGUACUGUAGGAAUAAGCACCGGCUAACUCCGUGCCAGCAGCCGCGGUAAUACGGAGGGUGCAAGCGUUAUCCGGAUUUAUUGGGUUUAAAGGGUCCGCAGGCGGAUCUGUAAGUCAGUGGUGAAAGCCUCCAGCUUAACUGGAGAAUUGCCAUUGAUACUGCUGAUCUUGAGUUCGGUUGAAGUGGGCGGAAUAUGUAGUGUAGCGGUGAAAUGCAUAGAUAUUACAUAGAACACCUAUUGCGAAGGCAGCUUACUAAACCAUUAUUGACGCUGAUGGACGAAAGCGCGGGGAGCGAACAGGAUUAGAUACCCUGGUAGUCCGCGCCGUAAACGAUGAUCACUCGUUGUGCGCAAUACAUCGUGCGUGACUGAGCGAAAGCAUUAAGUGAUCCACCUGGGGAGUACGGUCGCAAGAAUGAAACUCAAAGGAAUUGACGGGGGCCCGCACAAGCGGAGGAGCAUGUGGUUUAAUUCGAUGAUACGCGAGGAACCUUACCUGGACUUAAAUGUAGAAUGACCGUCGCCGAAAGGUGAUUUCCCUUCGGGGCAAUUUACAAGGUGCUGCAUGGCUGUCGUCAGCUCGUGCCGUGAGGUGUCGGGUUAAGUCCCACAACGAGCGCAACCCCUACCCUUAGUUACCAUCAGAUAAUGCUGGGCACUCUAAGGGAACUGCCGGCGCAAGCCGUGAGGAAGGUGGGGAUGACGUCAAGUCAGCACGGCCCUUAUGUCCAGGGCUACACACGUGCUACAAUGGUAAGUACAAAGGGCAGCUACCUGGUGACAGGAUGCUAAUCUCAAAAACUUAUCUCAGUUCGGAUCGAAGUCUGCAACUCGACUUCGUGAAGUUGGAUUCGCUAGUAAUCGUAUAUCAGCAAUGAUACGGUGAAUACGUUCCCGGGCCUUGUACACACCGCCCGUCAAGCCAUGGAAGCUGGGGGUACCUGAAGUCCGUAACCGCAAGGAUCGGCCUAGGGUAAAACUAGUGACUGGGGCUAAGUCGGAACAAGGUAGCC